rnacentral:rRNA from 1 species
UACAGAGGUCUCAAGCGUUGUUCGGAUUCAUUGGGCGUAAAGGGUGCGUAGGUGGUGGGGUAAGUCGGAUGUGAAAUCCCGGGGCUCAACCCCGGAACUGCAUUCGAUACUGCCUUGCUCGAGUACUGGAGAGGAGACUGGAAUUUACGGUGUAGCAGUGAAAUGCGUAGAUAUCGUAAGGAAGACCAGUGGCGAAGGCGAGUCUCUGGACAGUUACUGACACUGAGGCACGAAGGCCAGGGGAGCAAACAGG